AGAGAGAGACAUGCGCGCAUAUCAAUAAGCGGAGGAAAAGAAACUAACAAGGAUUCCCUUAGUAACGGCGAGUGAAGCGGGAAGAGCUCAAAUUUGAAAUCUUCAAGGUUCUACCUUGACGAAUUGUAGUUUAAAGAAGUGUUUUCUGUUGGAGUUUUGGUAAAAGUUCUUUGGAAUAGGACAUCAUAGAGGGUGAGAAUCCCGUAUUUGACCAUUACUUUCCAGCUGUGUGAUACACUUUCAAAGAGUCGGAUUGUUUGGGAAUGCAGUCCAAGAUGGGUGGUAAAUUUCAUCUAAAGCUAAAUAUUGGCGAGAGACCGAUAGCGAACAAGUACCGUGAGGGAAAGAUGAAAAGAACUUUGAAAAGAGAGUUAACCAGUACGUGAAAUUGUCAAAAGGGAAGCGUUUGACACCAGUGUUGUUUUUCCGAAAAUCAAUUACGAAUGUUUUGUUUUUGAGGAGUUAUGACUUCAUCGGCUUGCUCCUUUCUUUACGAAACUUUCUUAAUGCACUUUUCGGUUAACAAGUCAACAUCAAUUUCUUUUGUUGUAAAAGGGUACGAGGAAGGUGGCUUUCUUUUCGGAGAAAGUGUUUAUAGCCUUGUGCCUCUGCAAUCGGAGAGAUUGAGGUCUGCAGCGUAGAUCCUUCGGGGUUAGAUACAUUUGUGCUAAGUUAUAGCUUUUCAUAGACAACUUGUUGACUAUGUUAGUCUUGUAGCUUACUCGCUUAUGCUAUUUUACCUACGCUUAGGAUGUUGAUCUGUAGUGCGUGCGC
rnacentral:rRNA from 1 species